UCAGACGAACGCUGGCAGCGUGGAUAGGCAUGCAAGUCGAACGGGAUCCGGUAGGCAGCAAUGUCGGCCGGUGAGAGUGGCGGAAGGGCGAGGAACACGUGGGCAACCUGUCUUUGAGGUGGGGAAAACCGCUGGAAACGGCGGCUAAUACCGAAUGUAGCGCCCGCUCGCAUGAGCGGAGCGCCAAAGGGGGCGAAAGCUCCCCCUCUUCGAGGGGCCCGCGCACCAUCAGCUUGUUGGCGGGUAACGGCCCACCAAGGCUCACGGUUAGCUGGUCUGAGAGGAUGGCCAGCCGCACUGGGACUGAGAUACUGCCCAGACUCCUACGGGAGGCUGCAGUCGAGGAUCAUUUGCAAUGGGCGAAAGCCUGACAAUGCGGCGCUGCGUGGAAGGAUGAAGGCCCUCGGGUUGUAAACUCCUGUCAUGGGGGAAAAGGAAACCCUGCCCAAUACGCAGGGAAUUUGAUGGUACCCCAAGAGGAAGCGACGGCUAACUCUGUGCCAGCAGCUGC
rnacentral:rRNA from 1 species